GACGAACGCUGGCGGCGUGCUUAACACAUGCAAGUCGAGCGGAAAGGCUCCUUCGGGGGUACUCGAGCGGCGAACGGGUGAGUAACACGUGAGUAAUCUGCCCUGGACUCUGGGAUAGCCACCGGAAACGGUGAUUAAUACCGGAUAUGACCACUUUAGGCAUCUGAGGGGGUGGAAAGUUUUUCGGUCCAGGAUGUGCUCGCGGCCUAUCAGCUUGUUGGUGAGGUAAUGGCUCACCAAGGCUUUGACGGGUAGCCGGCCUGAGAGGGUGACCGGUCACACUGGGACUGAGACACGGCCCAGACUCCUACGGGAGGCAGCAGUGGGGAAUAUUGGACAAUGGGCGGAAGCCUGAUCCAGCAACGCCGCGUGAGGGAUGACGGCCUUCGGGUUGUAAACCUCUUUCAGUACCGACGAAGCGAAAGUGACGGUAGGUACAGAAGAAGGACCGGCCAACUACGUGCCAGCCGCCGCGGUAAAAC
rnacentral:rRNA from 1 species